CGAUACAAAUUGUGGACAGAAAAGAUCAGGUAUCAUGGCAUCGAACCAUUCCUUUUGUGAAGGUGCAAUGGAACAAUCAUACGGAAAGAGAGGCUACCUUGGAGCUCGAAGAAGAGAUGAAGGUCAAGCAUCCGGAACUAUUUGAACCCACAUGUAUGCUAAUUUCAAGGACGAUUUUUUUUUUAGGUGGGGAGAAUGUAAGAGCCACAUUUUAAGCCGGGCCGGCUCGCUAACCACAGCACUGGCCCGACCCAUGUGAAGGGGAGGGAGACUCCCGAACGGGGUCUUCUCCCUCCCCUGCUUCAGUCCCUUCCCGAAUCCACCGCACGAGGGGAAA
rnacentral:lncRNA from 1 species